AUUGAACGCUGGCGGCAUGCUUUACACAUGCAAGUCGAACGGUAACAGGGAGCUUGCUCCGCUGACGAGUGGCGAACGGGUGAGUAAUGCAUCGGAACGUACCGUGUAAUGGGGGAUAACGUAGCGAAAGUUACGCUAAUACCGCAUACGCCCUGAGGGGGGAAAGUGGGGGGACCGCAAGGCCUCACGUUAUACGAGCGGCCGAUGUCGGAUUAGCUAGUUGGUGGGGUAAAGGCCUACCAAGGCGACGAUCCGUAGCGGGUCUGAGAGGAUGAUCCGCCACACUGGGACUGAGACACGGCCCAGACUCCUACGGGAGGCAGCAGUGGGGAAUUUUGGACAAUGGGCGCAAGCCUGAUCCAGCCAUGCCGCGUGAGUGAAGAAGGCCUUCGGGUUGUAAAGACUCUUUCAGGUGGAAGAAAGACGCCGGGUUAA
rnacentral:rRNA from 1 species